rnacentral:rRNA from 1 species
CCUACGGGAGGCAGCAGUGGGGAAUAUUGGACAAUGGGGGGAACCCUGAUCCAGCCAUGCCGCGUGUGUGAAGAAGGCCCUCGGGUUGUAAAGCACUUUCAGUGAGGAAGAACGCCUGGUGGUUAAUACCCAUCAGGAAAGACAUCACUCACAGAAGAAGCACCGGCUAACUCCGUGCCAGCAGCCGCGGUAAUACGGAGGGUGCGAGCGUUAAUCGGAAUUACUGGGCGUAAAGCGCGCGUAGGUGGCUUGAUAAGCCGGUUGUGAAAGCCCCGGGCUCAACCUGGGAACGGCAUCCGGAACUGUCAAGCUAGAGUGCAGGAGAGGAAGGUAGAAUUCCCGGUGUAGCGGUGAAAUGCGUAGAGAUCGGGAGGAAUACCAGUGGCGAAGACGGCCUUCUGGACUGACACUGACACUGAGGUGCGAAAGCGUGGGUAGCAAACAGGAUUAGAUACCCGGGUAGUC